GUGAGGAAUAUUGCACAAUGGGCGAAAGCCUGAUGCAGCAACGCCGCGUGGAGGAAGAAGGCCUUCGGGUCGUAAACUCCUUUUCUGGGGGACGAGAAAGGACGGUACCCCAGGAAUAAGUCUCGGCUAACUACGUGCCAGCAGCCGCGGUAAUACGUAGGAGGCGAACGUUAUCCGGAAUUACUGGGCGUAAAGCGCACGCAGGCGGCUUCGUAAGUCCGACGUGAAAGCUCCCGGCUUAACUGGGAGAGGCCGUUGGAUACUGCGGAGCUCGAGGUUAGGAGAGGAAAGUGGAAUUCCCGGUGUAGUGGUGGAAUGCGUAGAUAUCGGGAGGAACCCCAGUGGCGAAAGCGACUUUCUAGCCUACACCUGACGCUGAGGUGCGAAAGCGUGGGGAGCGAACAGGAUUAGAAACCCCAGUAGUCC
rnacentral:rRNA from 1 species